rnacentral:lncRNA from 1 species
UGUGUUAUAAAGUUGGCGUUUUGUGUACGCCUCCCCUCCCGCUCCGGGCCUUCCUUCUCGCUGCUUUCCCGCCAUUUAACAACUUGUUUACACCUCUUAUCAAACCGGUCAAAGCACUCUGUGUGAUUGCUCUGUGUCAUCAUUAAUCUUCAAGUUAAUUUCACAGUAAAUCUUUUCUUUAUCUUAUUUACGUAGACACAAGACACAUCCGCUCUCUAACUCAGUUCUUCAGAUGUGUGCUCAAAAUCAAUCAAUAGUCUGCUUUAACGAGAAAAAGUUCGAAUCCUUCUCUCAUGUCACAAGCCAAACCAAGUGCCCCAGCAAUUUUGUCUCGUCCUGUCUGGAAGUUGUGAAGCUGUUACUUGCAAUUGCAGUGUCCGUGGCAAAUACGAUUAUUUACAACGUUCAUCCUGUUCAAGCUGUGGACUUUCAUCAGUGGAUCAGUCAAAGACACUGUCAUAGCCUUUGUGGAAUGCGUUAUGAAUAAUUUAAAGCUGAAGAGGUUAGCGGCUAGCCAAUGGAUACGAAAAUCUUCAAUCACUCAGUUUCAUCCCAAGGUAUGUUACUCUCACAUUUCUGAAAACCCAAAAAGUCACCUCACUGCCUCUCUGCAUGGUAGUAAUAUUUAUAAAAACCAAUCAAAUUUCUCUUGUGCUCAUUCAGUUUCUAGCAAUAAAUUUUGCAUGAUCACAGCGUUCUCGCAUUGUUCACAAUCGCACCAAUUGCACACAACGUCACGAUACAGCAUGCCACCAUUUAUUUCACGCCGUGUCUAUAUCCAGUGGCACCCUUCAGGCAUGCCACCCUCGGCACCGUCGGAGCCAAAUCUACUCUGGUUCUCAGUGACACCUCCGCACCAGAGGGAACGGGCCGAUUUGUUGAUGUUCGAAUACAUCAGCACGCCCUUGCUAAACCGAACAAUAACAUCUUGUCCGCAGCUGAUAUUGAUUGGGCCAUUGCCGGGGUUUGCACUUCAACACCCCUGAAUCCAGAACAUCAAAAAAAUAAAGAAGUUGUGUACACUCGCAAAGCAUCGUUUUUGCACGAGAUCGAUUCGCGCGGCAGUGACUAUACUGAUGAAGGGCUUAUGUGUCCAGCAACUGAUGGUUCGGGUGAUGAGCUGGAACAUGCUGUCAUUUUCAACCCUGAGAAAGGGGUUUUGAUGGCUUGUGAAGAACGUUGGACGGAUUCAGACGCGGAUCUGCUUCCUGGGCGCAACAGGAAGGAGUGCAUUAUUAUGAGGAUUCGGCGGACGACGGAAAACGCACUCAAAGGCCAGCUCCUUUUACUCGGAACGCACAUGCAGGCAAUCGUCGCUGGGAACUCCGGGGAACUACAUCUGCAGCGGUGGGAGUAUAGAACGAAUGAUAUAGGUAGCUGGGAGCUCAUUGCAUCAUUGGGGGCUGAGGGAAUCAUUCCGAGCCCAGAUCACGUCUUGGCAGGAGAGGAUUUAAAAGUCGACGGUCUCGUAUGGGAAGUUAUUAAAAAGAUUCAAUGGUAACACAGCAACUGGGAUUUAACUCCUCACCAUUUGGUCUUACGAACUAAGUGAUGAAAGAACUGAAAAGUUUCAGUUUCAUCGUCUGUUUUUUCAUUCCCGUUCAUUUUGUUUUUUAUUAAAAAAAUCAACAUACUGAUUGAAAUUUAAGUGGAAUAUUUUCGGUAAAAAAAAAAUUACAACUCCUUGAAUAUAUCCCUUCACUCCUUGAACUCCUUUAAUGAUGGUUGGUUUUACAACACGAAAUCUCAGACAUCCUAAAUUGACGUUUAUUUUUUCCUAGCUUCUUGACUGAUUUGUGCCUAGAAAAUCUCUCUCUCAAUAAUUUGAUGGAAUAAAUUAAAACAAAAAUGUAAGGGGUAGGGUAGCACAGAACUUAACAAUCGUAUCCAAUUAAAAUAUUCGAUCUUACAAGGUUCCAAUCUUUUAUUUUUAUCGAGAAAAGUGGUUGAUGAAGUAUCCUGUUAAUCAUACCAUAGAUCCUAGAUUAUUCUAAAUAAUGGCAACUGGCCAGCUUAGAGAUUAAGAAAUUGGGUCGUCUUAAGUUAAUUCGUCAGGACCCAUGACAAAUUAAACAUUUCCCCUUCAAAGUAAAGUUGAUGUUACUUGUGAAUUGAGACUGUUGUUGACUCGAUACAACAAUCAGUCGUGAUACAGCGCGCCUUGCAAAGUUUAUACAAGGUGUCCCAGACUACCCCUGGGUUCCCGUCAAAACAAGCUUUUUGCAGCACAAAAACGCCGCUGGGAGAUGACCUUUCCUACUUUCUCCCAAUAACAAAUCAUCUUUUAGGAAAGUUGAUAUUCUGAAAUUUUACAAUUAUUAGGUUUAAAUUGUGCUAAACAUUUUCUAAAAAUUUUAAAAAUAAGAGUUUGAAAUUCUCGCUUAACAGGAAUAAAUUUGGAAAUGCUCAAGACUUCAUACGUCGUUUUCCCUUUACGCUUCCGUAAUGAUAUACAUGUAUGAUCGUAAGACCAUGAUAUCAGGUAUAACGUCAUGAUGCAAUUAUUCGUGCUCUGUGGACAUCCGUGUUGCGUGCUAAAAAUUGAAGGCGCCCCGAUUUUUCUAGCGGUGCUUGCAGCGAUACGCUGUCACGACUCGGUGUGGCGGUGGGAUGUAAUAUCAGGGUUGCCACAGUCAUGGAAUAAAGAGAAAUGUCAGGGAAUUUGAAAAAGUCAGGGAAAAUUACUAAAGUUACAGGGAAGAACAGUUAAGUCACCUACAUUUCCUCUCUAGAAUGGGUUUAACGUUUCGAACAACAAAUUUUGCCUGACGACUAUUUAAAAUUGUGCCAUUUUAACCAUCUGGCAUAUCGACGGCGUAAGUCCGCAACCACAUAUCUCGUUUGCAGUGUCUGGAAAUCUCCACCUCUUUGUUAUUUUUCAAAGGAGGACAAAUUGACAUCAUUCCUUGAAGUUUUUGCAGAAUUCUCUUCACACUGAGAAGAAAAUCACGGCGGUUUUAAAAAAUCACCGUCAAGAAGUUUUCCGUUUAAAAAAUAAAGUAUGACAGGAAGUCUGCGACGUCGCAAACCGAGUGAUGUGAUUGCUGACUUACACCGUCGAUAUGUUCAACUGUCAUACAGGGUUAUUCAAAAGUCACGCACCCAUUGGCCAUAACUUUAGUUCUAAUUAUGAUUUUGUGGUUUAAGACGUUUUCCCUCAUAUCGAGGGGGAAACUUUUUUAGGUACUUUCCAGUUUUUGAUCCCCUUGGGGGAAGGGGGCGGGAGGCAACUCAAAAAUUUCAAAUGGCCACCCCCCCCCCCUCAUGGCCAGUGGUGAGUGACUUUUGAAUAACCCUGUAAAAUGGAAGUGUUUGGGAAAUUCAGUCUCUAAAUUCUGUGGGUGUCCUGAAUAUCCCAGUAUGUGAAAAUGGUGCGAAAGUAUCCUUUCUUGCUCUCUUGCCUUAGUUUUAUCCGAGAAUUUCGGCAUUCGUAACUGGGCGCCAAACGCCUUUACGCCCACCGCUUCAUGGACGAGCGUAGUCGGAGCGCCUUCCAUUUUUUCACACGCAACACGCGUGUCCAUAGAGUACGAAUAGUUGUAUCAAUGCAAGGCGUCAUUAUCAAAAUCAUUGAAUGCGUUGCUUUUGACUGAGAUAUUAACACUGAAAGUCCCGCCCCUUCUUAUUCUACUUGUGUGUCGUUCAAAAUAUCAAUUAAAAAAUUGCUAAUAUUUUGAAGUUGUUAGGUUAAGAAACAACUUCAAUCGCCUUUUUUCUGUUAAUCUCACAAUAAAUUUCAUCCGUUGAUGUUACUUGGAGAUUGAGACUGGUGUUGACGCUACGAUGUAGCGGUCGGUCGUGAUACAGCGUUGCGCAGUUUAUAAAAGGUGUCCCACAUCAACCGUGCCAAGCUUUUUUCGCGGUUAUUUGGACCGCGUUAAACAGAAAGGAACCAAGCCCCAUCAGCUAUUGCCAAAUUUAACAGGGGAAUUCGAUAUUGUACGAGAGAACGUUUGUGCGGAUUUCUUUGAAAAUUUUAAGGAAUUUGCUUUGUAUUAUGGAGAAAAUUCAUAGAAAUUUGCACAAAAAUCUGCACAACCAUUUUCAUGUAAAACAUUAAAUUGCCCGAUUAAAUUUGUCAAUAGCUGAUGUUGCUUGGUUCCUUUCUGUUUAACGCGGUCCAUUUUAAUUCUGAAAUUAGGGAGAGAAAAAACCUGGCGAAGGGGUGAUCUGGGACACCUUGUAUACAUUUUGCAACGCUGUAUCUCGACUGAUCCCUGGAUCGUAGUGUCAACACCAGUCUUAAUCUCCAAGUAGGAUCCCGAAUGGACUUUUACUGAAAGAUUUCGAUUUUCCGGACAAUGCGUACCCCAUCUCAAAAGCCGGGACUAGUCUUAGAACUCGCAAAUAAUAUACGGGGGGGGGGGGGGGGCACCUACAGCGUGCAUACAAAUGCUAGGCGGAAACCUCGAUUUUGGUGGACAAUUUUGGGUUUGUAAAAGUCUAGAAGGGGUAGAAUUCCCUUCCGGUCAUCUUUCCGAAUUGAAAGCUGAAAAAUAUAUUGUAAUUGGACCGCGUUAAGCAAAAUGGAACAAAGCCACAUCAGCUAUUUCCGAAAAUCGAGAAAUUUAAUUUCUUACAUGAAAACGGCUGUGCGGAUUUUUAUGCAAAUUUCAGUGAACUUUCUGC